GACGAACGCUGGCGGCGUGCUUAACACAUGCAAGUCGAACGGAAAGGCCCUGCUUUUGUGGGUUGCUCGAGGGGCGAACGGGUGAGUAACACGGGAGUAACCUGCCCUUGACUUUGGGUUAACUUCAGGAAACUGGGGCUAAUACCGGAUAGGAGCUCCGGCUGCAUGGUGGGGGUUGGAAAGUUUCGGCGGUUGGGGAUGGACUCGCGGCUUAUCAGCUUGUUGGUGGGGUAGUGGCUUACCAAGGCUUUGACGGGUAGCCGGCCUGAGAGGGUGACCGGCCACAUUGGGACUGAGAUACGGCCCAGACUCCUACGGGAGGCAGCAGUGGGGAAUAUUGCACAAUGGGCGGAAGCCUGAUGCAGCAACGCCGCGUGCGGGAUGACGGCCUUCGGGUUGUAAACCGCUUUCGCCUGUGACGAAGCGUGAGUGACGGUAAUGGGUAAAGAAGCACCGGCUAACUACGUG
rnacentral:rRNA from 1 species